ensembl:lncRNA
AGGCGGGGUGCCGUCACUGAUGACGUUACGCUCCAUAUGCAGGCUGUCACUGAACGCACUGCAAAGGAAACCAGACUGGUGGACUUCAUUAUCCAGUCAAAGGGAGCUGAGCAGCAUUUGGUGGAUGUACUUAGUGGCAAACGCUCUACUUGGAUUCAUCAGAAGUCUUGUUGCCAGAUGCCUCUCUACCUGGAUAGUGAGGAACAACACGACAAGCUUGUUGCAUUCUUAAAGACUGUACUCCACAGAGGACCAACACAACUGAGCUUCACAGAUGAAGUGCUGUUCAUCUGUCAUGUUCUCUUUCCAGAGACCAUCAUAUAUGGCCUGUCUAUGCAGGACAAUCUGUCCCUGCAGGAAGCUGAGCAGGUCUUCUUCAGUGGUCCAGCUUACCAUCAAAGCGUACCAAUGUUUGUGAAUGUAUCCUUUUUAAGUGUUACCAGUAUUUCUGUCAAGCCUGUAGUGAUAAUGUAGUCUGACUCUUUCAGUGAAGUGGAGGAAUUUUGUAGACGGAUUAAAAAAGACCUGAAGAAAGAAGGC